rnacentral:rRNA from 1 species
UGGGCACUCAAAGGAGACUGCCGGUGACAAACCGGAGGAAGGUGGGGAUGACGUCAAAUCAUCAUGCCCCUUAUGACUUGGGCUACACACGUGCUACAAUGGCAGAUACAAACGGAAGCCACCUCGCGAGAGCAAGCUAAUCUCAUAAAGUCGUUCUCAGUUCGGAUUGUAGUCUGCAACUCGCCUCCAUGAAGUCGGAAUCGCUAGUAAUCGUGGAUUCCAGCAGCCGCGGUAAUACGUUCCCGGGCCUUGUACACACCGCCCGUCACACCACGAGAGUUUGUAACACCCGAAGUCGGUGGGGU